UGAGGGAGGGGACGGUGCUGACGGCUGGGAGGACGAAAGGAAAGACAAGAAAGCUUUCGGGAAGAUAUAAGAGAGUGGGGAACGGCCCGGGUUUCCACCGUCCGUCGGGAAAUAAACAUCCCAGUUUUCUGUAGCUGCUGGAUUUGUCACCGAAUUGGCGCUGAAAAUGUCGACCAGUCGUCAGCUUAGCGAGAGCAGGGCCAUCCCGACCAGGACGGUGUUGAUCAACGACACAACGCAGCUACCUCAUGACUAUUGCACCACCCCUGGAGGCACUUUAUUCUCUACCACUCCCGGGGGAACCCGGAUCAUCUAUGACCGUAAGUUCCUCCUGGAUAGGCGCAAUUCUCCCAUUGCCCAGACUCCCCCAGCUCACCUGCCCAUCAUCCCUGGAGUGACUAGCCUAAAUGUCCUGAGUGAGAACCGGAAGAAUGAAGCCAACAACCACAUCAACAACCACGAUGGCAAGCCCACAACCGGUGAUGAUUCUCAAUUUGAAAUGGACAUCUAACAGACUGGAACCACACCAGCAAAAGCAAAUGACCUGGCAUCACACGUGCCAGUGGCUUGGCUUGUAGAAACCGAUGUUGUGAGCCCUCAUGGCAGCCAUCUUCUUUAGCUCUCUGUCUCGCUGCUGGUUGUAAUGUGUGUAAACCAUGGGGAUUCAGUAUAUUAUACAUCUAGGUACAGUGUGGCCAACUCUGGAAACUAGGCUUAUUUAUAUAGAUUUCCAUGGUGACCAGUCGCUGUACAAAUCAAAAAUCACAAGGGAGCGGGCCUGAAUAUUAUUUUCCCAGACACAUUGUCCAAUUAGUAGAUUGCAGUGCUCAUCUUACAGUUUUCUGCGAGUCAGGAUCCUUAACAGAGCACACUGUAAAACUGAUAAUAUUCCAAGUUAAUUGGGGGAGGAAGUGGUCAUUUUUAGUACGGGCCGUAGAAUCAGUCAAAAGCUUUGAUAUUCAUCACAGUCUUUGGUUUUGAAGACCCUUGUAAGCACGUUUAUUUAAGUAAUUUUUUUUUGUCUUUUUGGUUUUUGGAACUACUUGAAAAGCCCCACAGUCUAUUAUCGGUAGUUAGUUUCCCGUGAUGGUAAGUAAAGGGAUGCUGUGGUUUUUGUUUUUUUUUCUUCAAUUGGGUGAAGAUUUCAUGCCAUUCCAAGAUUUUAGUUUCCAGUUUUAGUUAUAAGCAUGCACGAGUUUUCAAUUUUCAGGGGAAAACAUUUUUUUAAUGAAUUCUAGUCCGCGAUUUCAUUGUUUUUGUAAUCAAAUGAUUGUAUUUCCCACUAUUAUGUAAAUCUGAAAAAUUGAAAAGAAGCUUUUUGUUUUAGAAUAAAUUUCAGUACAGAAUUAACAAUAUCAAGCUACUCGAUUCAUCACUAUCAUUACCUUUGCCAUAAAUCCAUUUACGCAUUUCUCUCCUGCCAAGAGAGGUAAUAUCUCCAGAUUUGAUGGCUACUUUGGUUUGUUGUGUUGGCAGGAGCUCUCUCUUCAUAAUUUGAUCCAUCCUGACAUCUGUCGGGUGUUUUUUGAAUAUCCAUACCGGAUAUACAUUUAGAUUAAUGUGGAAGUGGUUAAGACCCCAUUUGUAAUUUUUGGGGUGAAAUACAAGAAGAUUUUUGAAAAACUUGAAAAAAUCCAGAUGUUUUAUAUGCAUUUUAUUUUUUAAUACAGUUUCUUAGAAUUGAGGGUAUUGGUUUAAACACGGUCAAGCCUUUGGAUUUGUUAUAAGUGUCGAGGAAAUAGAAGACAUUGUUUGCAUCAGGCUUGAUGGAUGCUAACCCCUUAAUCUACAAAUUUGUCCCCAGUGUCCUUACUCCACGUUACACAUUACCUUAUUAUUUCCAUGUGUCAUGUCUGCCCAUGCCUUACUUGACAUCAGAUGCAGUAACUACAACUAGGUUUUUUGUCACCAAUUUGUACUUUCCAACAGAUGUUUAUUUUUUCACUGUAACACUGAACAGGUAACAUUGUACUUAGAAAUUAAGCCAAACAAAUACUUGUUGAGAAAAUGUGGGGGGUUUUCUACACAAGUUCCUUCCUCAAGCAGCUGUGAAGUUGGAAAGUGACUGUGUACAUGUCAUAUUGGGAUUCUGAAAUUCAGAUGCUGAUGUGAUUAAAAGAGUGCCACAUGCUCACUUA